rnacentral:misc_RNA from 1 species
GAUGAAGAACGUAGCGAAAUGCGAUAAGUAAUGUGAAUUGCAGAAUUCAGUGAAUCAUCGAAUCUUUGAACGCAUCUUGCGCUCCUUGGUAUUCCGAGGAGCAUGCCUGUUUGAGUGUCAUUAAAGUUCUCAACCAUGCCAGUUUUCUCUGGUCCAUGGCCUUGGAUGUGGGGGGCUUAUCAUUUUGCUGGCUUUGGAGACAAAGUCGGCUCCCCUGAAAUGCAUUAGUAGUAUUCGAGCAGAAAUCUACCACAGGUGUGAUGAAUUAUCUAUGCCUUGUAUCAACUGUGUGCACUGCUUUCUCUAACAACAUUUGACAAAUUUGACCUCAAAUCAGGCAGGACUACCCGCUGAACUUAAGCAUAUCAAUAAGCGGAGGA